UGCUUCACCUUCCUUUGGACUGGUUGGGAGGGAACAGCACAUGACAAUCAAAUAUUAUGGGAAGCCAUCAACGCUCCUUGUCUGAAUUUUCCCCAUCCGCCACCAGGUAAUUACUAUCUUGUUGAUUCUGGAUAUACACAUACGCCUGGUUAUAUGGCUCCUUUCAAGAAAUGUUCAAUAUCAUCAACAAGAUUUUAGGCGUAGACGACCACAAGGAGCAGAGGAACUAUUUAACUUUACACAUUCGUCAUUAAGAACUGCUAUUGAGAGAUCAUUUGGUGUCUUGAAGAUGCAUUUCCCUAUUUUAAAGAUGAUGCCCCCAUAUAGUUUCAAGACACUAGUUUUGAUUGCGAUUGCUUGUGUAACUAUACACCACUUUAUUA